GUUCAGAUUCGGAACUAGGAUAUUUGAAAUCUUUAGAUAGAUGUGUGUUGGAUGACAGGAUGAGCAGAAGAUUCUUCGACGCUCUCCAAGAAAUGACUGCAGAGAAGCUCACCCUGAAGUGAACUGAACCUUUUGUCCAAUAAAACAUGUACGAAUGGCUCAGCUAAUUACAUGCAAGGGAAACCAGUCCAAUAAAACAAGCCUUCCCCCGCUUCCUGGUCGCUCCCGCGGGCGGCCGGAAGCGAACCCUAGCCGUCAGCAGCGCCGCACCCACCAACCACGCCUCCCCUCGCCGCCGCCGGACGGCGUCGCCGGGCAAAGCCCGUGCGGCUCGGCGGCGGCGGGGCCGUCUCCUCCUUCCGCUCGGGGCGGCGUGGCGCGGGCCGUUCCUCUUCGGCGGGAGCUCGGCCGGCGGCUACGCUGGCUCGAGGCGGCGCGGCGAGGCUGUGCAAGGGCGGGCCAGGCACGCUUCGAGCUGGAUCUGCGUGCGGCGGGGCGUCGCGCCCGUCCGCGAGGGCGCGUGGGUGGAAUAGGCAUCGGUGAGAUCUGCGAGGGCACGUGGAGUGGAGCGGGAUGGGGCAUGGCAGCGAGGCCAUGCUGCGUGGGCGCCAGGGCGUGGUCGUGGUCCAGACGGGAGGGAGUUCGGCCCCGGGCGUCUUCGGUGGUCGAGUGCAGGCUUGCAGCGCUGCUGCUCGGGUGCCCUGUUCCACGGGUGUGGCUGCUUGGGUGCUCUGCACGGCGGCGUGCAAGGAGCUGAGCUGGGAAAAGGCGGUGCGACGGCUGGUGGUUCGGCGCGGAGGCGCACUGGAGUUGGCAUGCCCGAUCUGCGCUUCGUGCGAGAGCUUCGGCUUUGGAGGUGGAUCCUAGGCUUGACUGUGGUUAUGGCUCCUCUCUUGGUCCGACUGGGCUUUUGGGGCUAUUGCUAUGGUGGUCAGCGUGGUUGUGGUGGAGGUGGCGGCUCUGAGGUCGUUCCGGUGGUAUGCUCGUGUACGCGGUGGUGCCGGUCUCAACACGAGCAAUCCACCAUGGUUAUGUGUACGCCGUGGAGCCCUUCCGAUCCAAUUGGUCUGGUCUCGUCAUUGUUGAAUACAAGCGGAGUCGAGGCUCGGUUUGCAGGUUCGUUUUGGCUUGGCUCCCUCCCCGGAGUCUAUAGAGGUGGUGAGAUUUUAGGCUCUGGGCGAAAGCUUGUUUCUUCGACGGGGGUCGAUGCCGGCAAUGUUGGCGCUUGUGGACGUCCUUUUCUUCCUUGGAGGCAUUGUCGAAGAGCUGCCUCUCAUCACUGAGUCCUGGCUGGUUAGGUUUGGAAGCGGCACUGGGGUUGUUGGCUAGGUCGGACCAUUCUCAGGGUUUGGUGGAGUGGUCUUGUACGGAUCUGGGUGAAAGCUUUGUGAUCGACGGAGGUCGAUGCCGAAGACGACGACUGUGUCAAUUGAUGAUGCUUUCCUUCUUGAAGGCGUCUUUGAAGACCUUGCUCAAUAUCAUUUCGGACAGAGGUUGUGAUU